UACAGAGGUCUCAAGCGUUGUUCGGAUUCAUUGGGCGUAAAGGGUGUGUAGGUGGCGCGCUAAGUCGGGUGUGAAAUCUCGGAGCUUAACUCCGAAACUGCAUUCGAUACUGCCGUGCUUGAGGACCGGAGAGGAGACUGGAAUUUACGGUGUAGCGGUGAAAUGCGUAGAUAUCGUAGGGAAGACCAGUGGCGAAGGCGGGUCUCUGGACAGUUCCUGACGCUGAGGCACGAAGGUCAGGGGAGCAAACGGG
rnacentral:rRNA from 1 species